rnacentral:rRNA from 1 species
GAUGAACGCUGGCGGCGUGCUUAACACAUGCAAGUCGAACGGAAAGGCCCAAGCUUGCUUGGGUCCUCGAGUGGCGAACGGGUGAGUAACACGUGGGUGAUCUGCCCUGCACUUCGGGAUAAGCCUGGGAAACUGGGUCUAAUACCGGAUAGGACCACUUCUUGGAUGUUGUGGUGGAAAGUUUUUUCGGUGUGGGAUGAGCUCGCGGCCUAUCAGCUUGUUGGUGGGGUAAUGGCCUACCAAGGCGUCGACGGGUAGCCGGCCUGAGAGGGUGUACGGCCACAUUGGGACUGAGAUACGGCCCAGACUCCUACGAGAGGCAGCAGUGGGGAAUAUUGCACAAUGGGCGCAAGCCUGAUGCAGCGACGCCGCGUGGGGGAUGACGGCCUUCGGGUUGGAAACUCCUUUCGCUAGGGACGAAGCGUUUUGUGACGGUACCUGGAGAAGAAGCACCGGCUAACUACGUG